AAAAGAAGUUCAGCAGAGAAAAAUAUUAAGACAAAACAACGGAGGUGAACGCGAGCGGGAGCAGCAGUGAGCGGCGACGAACGAGAGCGGGAGAGGCGGUGAACGCGAGCGGGAGAGGCGGUGAGCGGCGGCGAACGCAAGCGCUUGCGAACACGAGCAGUGGCGAGUGCGACGGCGUCGAGAGUGAGCGAACGGCGGCGAGCGAGACCGAACGGCGGCGAGCGAUACGAGUAGGAGCCGCACAGGUGACGAUCCCCCGUCCGAGUCAGCUCACUUUCCCUUUCAAACUCGUUGAAUCGUAAGAGUUCGCAAGUUAUUGUGUGACAGACAUGGCUCUUGCUGAUAAUGGACGGAAGCAUGUUCGCUGCGAUGAGACGAAGAAUAAUGAGGUGACUUUCAUUACUUGUAAUCUUUUUGCGUAAACCUCUCGUGCUUCUUCAUCGAUACCCAUGCUUUCGAACAUCACCGUCUGUUCAAAGUGAAAGUGGGAGAGAUGAGUUCAACUCUAAGGAAGAAAAUAAUAGUUUUAACUCUUAAAAUUAUAUACAAUUAUUGAUAUGAUAAGAUUAAAAGUUAACAUACGUAAUAAAAAGUAAAUUUGUAAUAUUAUAUAAAAAAAUAUUAAAAUAAUAUUAUUAGGAAAGUUGUAUAAAAAUUUGAGAUUAUGAAUAUAUCAUUUAACCUAUAAAAAUGAUGAGUGUGGAGUGAGUUAGGGGAAGAGGAAGUUGAAAAAAGGAAAACUUUUCUUUGACACCGUAAACGUAAAUAGUAAAAUUCACGCACUUCACAAUUAUAAUAAUAUACUAAAAACAAAAUAAAAUAAUAAAAAUAUUAAUUUAUUAGAAUUAGAAUAUUAGUUGUAUGUUUUUAGUAAUGUAUCAGCAUCCGUGAUGUGUUGAUUUUGCUAUUUAGAUAGCAAAAAGUGGAAGGAGCAUGCGCCAGAAAUAGAUGGUGAAGAACAUACUUGGGUGGGCGUGGAGGACCAUAGCUUUGAACCAGAUCAAGAGGGAUGUAGCUGCUCCUCCUACUAAGUAACUCCUCAACAUUCAAAUCACAAGAGAAGUUCAAUAAUAUUUGAUAAUAAUAUUGUAACAAGAGGAUGAUGUUAG
rnacentral:lncRNA from 1 species